rnacentral:misc_RNA from 1 species
UUUGGUUUGUCACGUGUGGUUGGCUGCGGCGUUUGCAACAACUUCCAUGCUUUCAGACCUCUUCAGUUGUGCGGCAAGGCUUGUAUCGCCUUGUCGUAAUGUGGGUUUUCUGUGUUGUAUACCUAAUCAAUGGUAUCGGUUGGAUUGAUCAAUGUUUCAUUUCGUCUGUCGUCGCAUUUGCGGCGUGAGACGAACCUCGAUGCGGUCUCUUUGGCCCACCUCGUCGAAGCACAUGCUUUGACGUUGUGGCACAUUGAGCAUUGCUUGGUCUCUUGUAUACGGAACAUAUAGUGGGCAUGGAUCUAACGAUUCUUGUUUGCCCUCAUGUUAGCGUAACGCUUCUCUUACACGACUUGCUCCACGUUUUAG